rnacentral:rRNA from 1 species
AGACGAAGGUGGCAAGCGUUGCUCGGAAUUACUGGGCAUAAAAAGCGCGUAGGUGGCGUGAUAAGCGAGUGAUGAAAUCCCAUGGCUCACCCAUGGAACUGUUUCUCGAACUGUCAUGCUUGAGGACGGGAGGGGAAGGUGGAAUUCCUGGUGUAGCGGUGAAAUGCGUAGAUAUCAUUGAGAACACCAGUGGCGAAGGCGGAUUUCUGGGCUGGUACUGACGCUGAGGUGCGAAAGCUGGGGGAGCGAACAGGAUUAGAAACCCCGGUAGUCC